AUUGAACGCUGGCGGAAUGCUUUACACAUGCAAGUCGAGCGGCAGCACGAGGGUAACCCUGGUGGCGAGCGGCGAACGGGUGAGUAAUACAUCGGAACAUGCCCAGUCGUGGGGGAUAACACUUCGAAAGAAGUGCUAAUACCGCAUACGUCCUGAGGGAGAAAGCGGGGGAUCGCAAGACCUCGCGCGAUUGGAGUGGCCGAUGUCAGAUUAGCUAGUUGGUGGGGUAAAGGCCUACCAAGGCAACGAUCUGUAGCUGGUCUGAGAGGAUGAUCAGCCACACUGGGACUGAGACACGGCCCAGACUCCUACGGGAGGCAGCAGUGGGGAAUUUUGGACAAUGGGGGCAACCCUGAUCCAGCCAUUCCGCGUGAGUGAAGAAGGCCUUCGGGUUGUAAAGCUCUUUCGGCAGGAACGAAACGGUGAGCUCUAACAUAGCUUGCUAAUGACGGUACCUGAAGAAGAAGCACCGGCUAACUACGUG
rnacentral:rRNA from 1 species